GUGCCAGCAGCCGUCGGUAAUUCCAGCUCCAAUAGCGUAUAUUAAAGUUGUUGUGGUUAAAAAGCUCGUAGUUGAACCUUGGGCCUGGCUGGCCGGUCCGCCUCACCGCGUGCACUGGUCCGGCCGGGCCUUUCCCUCUGUGGAACCCCAUACCCUUCACUGGGCGUGGCGGGGAAACAGGACAUUUACUUUGAAAAAAUUAGAGUGCUCCAGGCAGGCCUAUGCUCGAAUACAUUAGCAUGGAAUAAUAAAAUAGGACGCGCGGUUCUAUUUUGUUGGUUUAUAGGACCGCCGUAAUGAUUAAUAGGGACAGUCGGGGGCAUCAGUAUUCAACUGUCAGAGGUGAAAUUCUUGGAUCAGUUGAAGACUAACUACUGCGAAAGCAUUUGCCAAGGAUGUUUUCAUUAAUCAGGAACGAAAGUUAGGGGAUCGAAGACGAUCAGAUACCGUCGUAGUCUUAACCAUAAACUAUGCCGACUAGGGAUCGGACGGUGUUAUUCAUGACCCGUUCGGCACCUUACGAGAAAUCAAAGUGCUUGGGCUCCAGGGGGAGUAUGGUCGCAAGGCUGAAACUUAAAGAAAUUGACGGAAGGGCACCACCAGGGGUGGAGCCUGCGGCUUAAUUUGACUCAACACGGGGAAACUCACCAGGUCCAGACACAAUAAGGAUUGACAGAUUGAGAGCUCUUUCUUGAUUUUGUGGGUGGUGGUGCAUGGCCGUUCUUAGUUGGUGGGGUGACUUGUCUGCUUAAUUGCGAUAACGAACGAGACCUUAAUCUUGCUU
rnacentral:rRNA from 1 species